rnacentral:rRNA from 1 species
CCCUUAGAUGUCCGGGGCCGCACGCGCGCUACACUGAAGGAAUCAGCGUGGCUUUCUCCCUGACCCGAAAGGGUUGGGAAACCCGUUGCAUCUCCUUCGUGAUAGGGAUUGGGGCUUGAAAUUGUUCCCCAUGAACGAGGAAUUCCCAGUAAGCGCGAGUCAUAAGCUCGCGUUGAUUACGUCCCUGCCCUUUGUACACACCGCCCGUCGCUACUACCGAUUGAACGGUUUAGUGAGGGCCUCGGAUUGGUCUCGGCCCGCUCUUUACCGGGCGGCGCCGUUGGUCGAGAAGACGCUCGAACUUGAUCGUUUAGAGGAAGUAAAAGUCGUAACA